GUGGGACAGGCCCUAAAACCAGCCAAUUUCUCUCUACCAACACUCUCCUCCGCAUAGCAGAACUGGUCCUCACCAUUAACAAUUUCUCCUUCGACUCCUUCCACUUCCUCCAGGUCCAAGGCGCAGCUAUGGGCACUCGCAUGGGCCCCAGCUAUGCCCCUAGGGUACAUCGAACAUUCCCUGUUCCAAGCAUACACUGGCCAUAUCCACAACCUCUACCUCCGCUACAUUGACGACUGCAUCGGUGCUACCUCCUGCACCCAUGCAGAACUCACUGACUUGAU